GCCUUCGUGGUGUAAUGGUCAGCACACUGAGCCGGUAUUUCAGAGGUCCGUGGUUCGAUCCCCGGCUAAGGUA
rnacentral:tRNA from 1 species